AUGAACGCUGGCGGCGUGCCUAAUACAUGCACGUCGAGCGAACGGACGAGAAGCUUGCUUCUCUGAUGUUAGCGGCGGACGGGUGAGUAACACGUGGAUAACCUACCUAUAAGACUGGGAUAACUUCGGGAAACCGGAGCUAAUACCGGAUAAUAUUUUGAACCGCAUGGUUCAAAAGUGAAAGACGGUCUUGCUGUCACUUAUAGACGGAUCCGCGCUGCAUUAGCUAGUUGGUAAGGUAACGGCUUACCAAGGCAACGAUGCAUAGCCGACCUGAGAGGGUGAUCGGCCACACUGGAACUGAGACACGGUCCAGACUCCUACGGGAGGCAGCAGUAGGGAAUCUUCCGCAAUGGGCGAAAGCCUGACGGAGCAACGCCGCGUGAGUGAUGAAGGUCUUCGGAUCGUAAAACUCUGUUAUUAGGGAAGAACAUAUGUGUAAGUAACUGUGCACAUCUUGACGGUACCUAAUCAGAAAGCCACGGCUAACUACGUG
rnacentral:rRNA from 1 species